CGUGGAUCCGUUUUAUUUUAUAUAUAUUUUUUAUAUUUUAUAUUUAGUUUACUAAUAAUAUUAACUAAAUUAAAAAUAAUAAAUAAAUUAUAUUCAAAAGAAUAAAAACUAAAAGUAAUUAGAUAAAAGUAUUUUGUGUUAUAUUUUUCAUGAUGGAAAUUAGAUGUUGUUGAUUUUGUGAAAUUUUUUUAAUUUAAUUUAAAAAUAGUAGAUCCAUGGAUCUGGACCCGUGGA
rnacentral:lncRNA from 1 species